AUCCACACUGGAGGAGCUCCUUGAUGCGGGCGGCGUCAACGGCGCGGUCGCGGGUGACGGCUACGUCCUCGCGAAGAUAGAGGAGGAGAAAUUGAUUAUGGAGGCAGCUUCUUCCAAGAUGUUCAACAAAGAAGAUUACAUUGUCUUCCACUCAAGAACUCUCCCAGCUUGCUCAGAGCAAGGGUUUUCCUGCGCUCGAUUUCACUUUGCAAAUUGAAGUGGCAUCAUCACCAUGGAAGUCAAAUCCUCUUCUCGCAAAAUCUCACCUCCACAAUAGGACCAUCUAUGCAGAUGCAAGUUGUCAAGGUGCUCUGCUCGGGCUAGAGAAGGAAGGCUUCAAAGUUACUUGAAGAUUUUGAUUCCAGAAAUCACUCAUUAACAACUGAAGAUUUUGUUGAUAUUUUUAAGUACUAUGCACACUCUCCUGAUCCACUGGUGAUCUAGCUGAUCCAACUGCACCGAAUGCUCUGCUGGUCGGUGGCUUGGCUAAGCCAAAUCAUGUCUCGGUCACUGGAUCAGAAUUGCAACUAGAUCGGCCAGUCGGUGAUGCCAUAAUCUAAGUGGAUAAGACUGCUGCUCCUGAUCAUGUAGUAGGUGAUCCAGCUGCUGAUUUGGUUCCAUUCCAACCAAGACUGACCUCCGUUUCCAGAGCCAUGCUGUUCUUGUGUUGCAAAAGGCUGUCGAGGCAUAUUUCUUUUUGUCGAAGCCGAUAGGUUACUAGGGGAAAUAGGUGUUUACUAUCAGUCAUAUUAAUUGUGAUAGGCAAAUAUAGCUAAAAGUUUGUGAAGGUCUGAUUUUUAGAAGUUUGGCAUGUAAUUGAUUUUUUCCAAGUAGGUGAUCCAGCUGCUGAUUUGGUUCUAGUCCAACCAUGGGAUGAAUUUUCAUAUAAUUUGAAUUUUUAUUGAUCUAAAAGAUGCAUUGAACCAUAUCUGUAGCUGCAUAUAUUUCAUAAUUAUUGAAUGGAUUUUAUAUUUUUAACAA